UAAUUUGUUAUUUCGUUUUUCUCAUUAGAUAAGUAGUUGUCGAACAUAGUCUUAGGGCAUGUAUAAUAGUGAGAUAAUAGCCGUUUAUAUACAUCCACGUCAAAUUAAUCAUUCUACGUGGCAUUAUUAAGAGCAUCUCCAACAGACAACCUAAAUCGGACUAAAAAAAUGCAUAUCUGGUCACUCUCCAUAGCCACUCAAAUUCGUUUUUUACUCCAACGAACUCUCCAUCCAACCUCUCUAUUUUGAGUGCAUGACACCCACAUGUCAUCCUCCUCUCUUUCUUUUCCUCUCACUCUCCCUCUUUCCUUUUCUCUUUCUUUCUCACACUCUAUCUCUCUCCCACGGGGCAACAGAGGCAGGCGGCGACGAAUCGAGGAUGGCACGGGCGACGCGCCGUUGACGAUGGCGGUGGACUGGGGGCGCGCCAGGCGCGGACGGCGCGAACAGCGACGGCGACCGGCUGGGACCGCGCCGGGCGGAGGAGGUCGGGGCAUCACGAGUCGGCGCGCGAAGGAGAUCGGCCGUCGUCGAUCGAGUCAGUGGCGGCGUCGCGCGGAGCAGGCCGAGGUGGCGUCGGCUGGGACGUCAGGCGGCGGUGUGCGGGGGUAGACUGUGGCGGCGGAGGCCGGAGCCGGCGACUGGGUUGGUGCUGCGGCUCGUUGUGUUCGUGCUCCUCCCGUGCUCCCCUGGUUGCGUGGGAGAGGAUUGGCAGUGUGGGGCUUACUACUGGUCAGUCAAAUAGAUUGGCUAAAUUUGGCUAGUGGAGGAAGGGUUUUGGCCAGCCAGAUGGCUUAGCCAUCCAGUUGAAUAGACUGUUGUAGCAUAUUUUUUGUUUAGAAUGGCUAAAAUUUAGCUUGGAGAGUGGGAUGAGACAUCUGUUAGAGAUGCUCUAACUCAAGAAAAACUUAGAAUGUGUGUAUUCAUUUAUCUCCUGUUUAGGCACGUGCUCCUAAGCUGCAUACAAUCCUUUUUAGAAAAAAUCUUCAUGCAUUGGUUAUACGUAAUAAAUAUAAAACAUAAAAAAUGAUGUAUUAAAUAUUAUAAAGAUAGCUAAGUAGAUAACCUAUUGUACAAGCUGUUUGUUUUAUUGUCUAUGUAUAACUCGUA
rnacentral:lncRNA from 1 species